AGAGUUUGAUCAUGGCUCAGAACGAACGCUGGCGGCGUGGAUAAGACAUGCAAGUCGGACGAGAUUUCGUCCUGUAGCAAUACGGGAAGAAGUCUAGUGGCGAACGGGUGCUUAACACGUGGGCAAUUUGUCUUAAAGUGGGGGAUAGCUCGGCGAAAGCCGAAUUAAUACCGCAUGUGAUUAGAAUGGACAUCCAUUCAAAAUUAAAGUCGGGGCAACCUGACGCUUUUUGAGAAGCCCGCGGCCUAUCAGCUAGUUGGUGAGGUAACGGCUCACCAAGGCUUUGACGGGUAGCUGGUCUGAGAGGACGACCAGCCACACUGGGACUGAGACACGGCCCAGACACCUACGGGUGGCAGCAGUCGAGAAUUUUUCUCAAUGGGGGAAACCCUGAAGGAGCGACGCCGCGUGGAGGAUGAAGGUCUUCGGAUUGUAAACUCCUGUCAUUGGGGAACAAGGUGCAUACGUUAACUGCGUGCGCAUUGAUAGUACCCGAAGAGGAAGAGACGGCUAACUCUGUGCCAGCAGCCGCGGUAAUACAGAGGUCUCAAGCGUUGUUCGGAUUCAUUGGGCGUAAAGGGUGCGUAGGCGGCGCGGUAAGUCGGGUGUGAAAUCUCGGAGCUUAACUCCGAAACUGCAUUCGAUACUGCCGUGCUUGAGGACUGGAGAGGAGACUGGAAUUUACGGUGUAGCGGUGAAAUGCGUAGAUAUCGUAAGGAAGACCAGUGGCGAAGGCGGGUCUCUGGACAGUUCCUGACGCUGAGGCACGAAGGUCAGGGGAGCAAACGGGAUUAGAUACCCCAGUAGUCC
rnacentral:rRNA from 1 species